rnacentral:rRNA from 1 species
GCAUAACGCGAAGAACCUUACCUGGCCUUGACAUUGAUAGAAUCUGCUAGAGAUAGCGGAGUGCCCUUCGGGGAGCUUGAAAACAGGUGCUGCACGGCUGUCGUCAGCUCGUGUCGUGAGAUGUUGGGUUAAGUCCCGCAACGAGCGCAACCCUCGUCACUAGUUACUAACGGUUCGGCCGAGGACUCUAGUGAGACUGCCUUCGUAAGGAGGAGGAAGGUGAGGACGACGUCAAGUCAUCAUGGCCCUUACGGCCAGGGCGACACACGUGCUACAAUGGGAUGUACAAUGAGACGCAAUACCGCGAGGUGGAGCAAAUCUAUAAAACAUCUCUCAGUUCGGAUUGUAGUCUGCAACUCGGCUACAUGAAGCUGGAAUCACUAGUAAUCGUAGAUCAGCCAUGCUACGGUGAAUACGUUCCCGGGUCUUGUACACACCG